UGGAGUCUGAUGACCAAGGGCAGGAAGCAUCCAGCACGGGACAAAGAAGAAAGCCAGAAGACUCAGCAAGCCAGCUCAUCUCACUUUCUUCUGCCUACUUUGUUGUAGCUGAGCUGGCAGCCAGUUGGAUGGUGCACACUCACAUUGAGGAUUGGGAGGCUGCUGUGUAUGGAUAAGAUACCUGCUACAGCCAGCUUGACACCAUGAGAAGGACAAGAGAAUUGCAGAGACACAUAUCCAGGAUUCUGAUCCAGUUGAGGCACUGAAAUAAUCUAGAACCACCUUCAAAUUUCUUAUAAAGAGAGCUAUGCUAUUAGGAUUUAAUUAAAUGGAUGCCAACAGCAAGUAAACCAUCUCCAAAGAUGCCAUGAAGCUCUCCUAAUUGCAGGAAAAUAUCAGAGGCACUUGAUUUGAGUCUUUCAAGUACGGAAAUAACAAAUUCAGUCUCAACAGACCUAUAGUGAAUGAGAAUGAUUGUCACAUAAUGUGUAGAGAAAAUGGAAGAAUCAAAGGCAAGGGAAACCUGUACAGUGGAGACACAAAGGGUCACUGGCAGAUUUCAAAUGAUCCAAGACAUCCUCAAGGAAGAUUUACCACAAGUUACUUUAUCAUAGCUUUGAGUGGCAUUUUAAUAUCAUAUUUUAAAAGAAAGAAAACAAUAGAAAUGUAUUAAAAUAUCUUCUCAAGAAUCCUUCCAAACCACAAGGAAAAUCACCAGGCCAAAAGUGAGGUUUGAAGUCUGGACAUGUACUGGUUUUCUCUAGCAAUCGACUCUCAAUUUUUGGACAUUGAGAUCUGCUGGUUGGAGAUCUUAGUGCCCAAGGAAGAAUGCUUGCAAAAGGAGAUGGAACAGUGUUUCUGUUGCAUUGGCCACUGAGAAUAUCUGGUUAUUUUGAAUUUGUCACAGUCUGCAGCUAAAAGGCGAACAGGAAAAGAAGAGGAAGCGGCACAUGAGACUAGCAGGAGUAAAUGUUAUAUACACUGGGCCUCGCAAAAAUUCUGCAAUCACUGGGAAUCAGUAACCUGGUAGAAUGAGAAAACAACGUAAUACUGAAAAAUCAAAACACCAUCCUACAGAACUUUGAUGCAUUCAGAACAAAGAUCACGAAUCAAGCUGAAAAAGUAAAGCAUUCUGUGAGUUGUGGAAUGGAAAUUGCCUCAACCAUCUCACCACUUGAUGACACUUGUAAUUUCAGUGACCCAAUUCAAGCAAUCAAACAUCAAGUAAUACUCUCAAUAAAGAUGUGUAAUUAAAACAGAAGAGGAAACAGACUAACAGAAGUGAUGAAGAAUGGCAGUUCUAAGGAUGGCAGGAAUUCACUGAAUGUCUAUCUAUCAUGUAUGCUGUUGGAGGCACCUGUCUUUCAGUUCAGAGGUUAUGGAUGUAUCUAUCAUCAGUAUUUCGGGAAGUCAGGGACCCGGAACAGAGGGACUUAAUGAAGCUGUGGCAGAAGAAAAAAUUAUGAAGAUUUCAUGGACAUUUAUUAGUUCCCCAAAUUAAUACUUUUAUAAUUUCUUACA
rnacentral:lncRNA from 1 species